rnacentral:snoRNA from 1 species
AACUAUGACUUGAACUUUACCUUAGAAAUAAAACAAUGUGGUCUUGGUGGUCAUAAAAGGAAGAAAAGUAAUACUGAAGCUGGCCUCACAUCACUGUAGUGUGGUAUAUCUCGGGUGAAACAGGCUGGAGGAAAAAUUUU